UUGUAAUGAGCGAAGGGAGAGCUUUCUGUGAGAGAGAGGGCAGGAGGGAGGAAGGGCGGGGGUAGGGCAGGAGCAAGGGGGGAGGGAGGGGGAAGGGCAGAAGGGGGGCGGGAAGGGAGGGAAGCCUCGGAAGCUUCCACGGAGAAAGCGGAGAGAAGGAGGGGAGUGAGGAUUGCAGCUCGUGGUGCGUGCACACUCCCUCUGGCUUGCCGCUGGCACGCAACUUGCUCUCUUGACCUCUUGACCCCUGCAGCCACGAGAGGCCGCCACGUGACGUUCGCAGCAACUGUCAAAGCGCCACGAUUGUUUGUCGGAACGGCGCGGCGAUGAUUAUUCUUUCAGCGAGUCGAUUUCUCUCGCCAAAUCCUGGCCCCGCUGCCCCGUUGCCCACGCGGUUGGGGCUCGUGUGGACGCUGCAUGCGACGGGGGGCAAAGCAAACAUCCGCGGAAGCUCCGUGGUGGGGGAAGCAGCCCUGGGCAGUACAGCCAGAGACGAGGAACUCUUUGGGGUGGGGGGGUGGGGGGGGGGCACUGCCGCAGAUUUCUGAAUUGAAAACUCCACGGCAAUUGCCACGAGACGAACGCGCACACGGAGGCCACGUGUCGAGGUGAGGUCACGUGGGCACCACGCGUCAGGGUCUGGAUCGAACCCACGACCUCCUGUAGACCAGGCGAGGUAGUUAACAUCUCCUAGCCACCGUGAUGAUGAUGAUGAGAGAGAGAGAGAGACACGAAGACUCCAAAUAUACAGCAGCAGGCGUCAGGGUCGGGAUCGAACCCACGACCUCCUGUAGACCAGGCGAGGUAGUUAACAUCUCAUAGCCACCGUGAUGAUGAUGAUGAGAGAGAGAGACACGCAAACUCCAAAUGUACAGCAGCAGGCGUCAGGGUCGGGAUUGAACCCACGACCUCCUGUAUACCAGGCGAGGUAGUUAACAUCUCCUAGCCACCGUGAUGAUGAUGAUGAGAGAGAGAGAGAGACACGAAGACUCCAAAUAUACAGCAGCAGGCGUCAGGGUCGGGAUCGAACCCACGACCUCCUGUAGACCAGGCGAGGUAGUUAACAUCUCAUAGCCACCGUGAUGAUGAUGAGAGAGAGAGAGACACGCAAACUCCAAAUGUACAGCAGCAGGCGUCAGGGUCGGGAUUGAACCCACGACCUCCUGUAUACCAGGCGAGGUAGUUAACAUCUCCUAGCCACCGUGAUGAUGAUGAUGAUGUGAGAGAGAGACACGCAAACUCUAAACAUACAGCAGCAGGCGUCAGAGUCGGGAUCGAACCCACGACCUCCUGUAGACCAGGCGAGGUAGUUAACAUCUCCUAGCCACCGUGAUGAUGAUGAGAGAAAGAGACACGCAAACUCCAAAUAUACAGCAGCAGGCGUCAGGGUCGGGAUCGAACCCACGACCUCCUGUAUACCAGGCGAGGUAGUUAACAUCUCCUAGCCACCGUGAUGAUAAUGAUGUGAGAGAGAGACACGCAAACUCUAAACAUACAGCAGCAGGCGUCAGGGUCUGGAUCGAACCCACGACCUCCUGUAGACCAGGCGAGGUACUUAACAUCUCUAGUUAGCUGGAAAACCACGCGCUUCAAUCAACAACAACAUCAGCACGGGGCGCGGAUAGUGAACGAGCACAGGCUCUGUGAAUUAUGCAACGAAACAUCGGCGGUUCCUGAACAAAAUGCGUUUGUUGUGUCGUCUUGUGUCCGGUCACCACCGAUGUUGGUCGCUGCUGCUGCUCAAAUAAAUGUUGAUGGUAUGUGUG